rnacentral:misc_RNA from 1 species
GAUGAAGAACGCAGCGAAAUGCGAUAAGUAAUGUGAAUUGCAGAAUUCCGUGAAUCAUCGAAUCUUUGAACGCACCUUGCGCCCUUUGGCCAUUCCGAAGGGCAUGCCUGUUUGAGUAUCAUGAACACCUCAACUCUCAUGGCUCGCCAUGAUGAGCUUGGACUUUGGGGGUCUUGCUGGCCUGUGGUCGGCUCCUCUCAAAUGGAUCAGCUUGCCAGUGUUUGGUGGCAUCACAGGUGUGAUAACUAUCUGCGCUUGUGGUUUUCCAUCAGAUAACCUUCAGUGAUGGAGGUUCGCUGGAGCUCAUAAACGUCUCCCCUAAGCGGGGACAGCCCUUUGAAUGUUUGAUCUCAAAUCAGGUAGGACUACCCGCUGAACUUAAGCAUAUCAAUAAGCGGAGGA